CCGGAGCUGGCAUCCGGAUCCAGCCAAAUUUUGGCCCCGACCCUCCCAACCCCCCCCCCCCCCAGCGCCUACCUUCGUAUCCAAUGCAGGGAGAGUUCCAAAGCCGCCUAAGGGAUCUAAACACGCACGCUUCCCCCUCCACGCGGGGUCCAGUGAAUGGAAGAGGUGUUUCUAAAUCCCUUACGUCGCUUGGAAUAGUCAGUCCAGAGCUGACCAGGCUCAAACAACAAUAUAAUGUGAUCAUUCACACCGGCUAGACUAGCGGUGCUGCCAAACUGCCAGGGGUACGGCGUGAGAUUUGGCUGGAAAGAACGAGAUGUCAGAGCUGGCUCCUUGUGGCUUCACUGAAGCACAAUGCAUUGGAUACAGUUUUAUCUGAUGUCAAAGGAGGGCUGAACUUGCCGUCUAUUGAGAAGACUGCAAAAGCAGAAGGCAACACAGCAAACCGGGGAGUGUGUGCACCUGAGAGAGGCAGAGAUGCUGCCUCCAGCAAAGAGCCGACAAAGCAGCCACCAGACAUCUCAGCUGAGGUGCUGGACAACUUACCACACAGCCCAGUGGCUACCUGCGAUGUGGACGGUUGGAGUUUGCCCAAUAGGCUGAAAUGUUUAACUGGCAAGGCCAUUGACUAG
rnacentral:lncRNA from 1 species